rnacentral:rRNA from 1 species
ACGGGGCGCAGCAGGCGCGAAAACUUGGCAAUGCGAGAAAUCGUGACCAGGGAACUCCAAGUGCAUCGGGUAAGACCGGUGCUUUUCUUGACUCUAAAUAGGUCUUGGAAUAAGGGGUGGGUAAGGACGGUGCCAGCCGCCGCGGUAAUACCGGCGCCUCAAGUGGUAGUCGCUUUUAUUGGGCCUAAAACGUCCGUAGCCGGUCUGAUACAUUCGUGGGUAAAUCAACCAGCUCAACUGGUUGAAUUCUGCGAGGACGGUCAGACUUGGGACCGGGAGAGGUGUGGGGUACGCUCAGGGUAGGGGUAAAAUCCUGUCAUCCUGAGCGGACCACCUGUUGCGAAGGCGCCACACUAGAACGGAUCCGACGGUCAGGGACGAAGCCUAGGGGCACGAACCGGAUUAGAUACCCGGGUAGUCCUAGGUGUAAACGCUGUGGACUUGAUGUUGGGGGUGCUCCGAGCACUCUCAGUGUCGAAGCGAAGGUGAUAAGUCCACUGCCUGGGAAGUACGGUCGCAAGGCUGAAACUUAA